rnacentral:tRNA from 1 species
AGCAGAGUGGCUUAGUGGAAAGAGUGCAGGCCUGGAGAGUCACAAGAUCUGGGUUCUAAUUCCAGCUUUGCCA